GAUGAACGCUGGCGGCGUGCCUAAUACAUGCAAGUCGAGCGAACAGAUGAGGAGCUUGCUCCCCUGACGUUAGCGGCGGACGGGUGAGUAACACGUGGAUAACCUACCUAUAAGACUGGGAUAACUUCGGGAAACCGGAGCUAAUACCGGAUAAUAUAUUGAACCGCAUGGUUCAAUAGUGAAAGACGGUUUUGCUGUCACUUAUAGAUGGAUCCGCGCCGCAUUAGCUAGUUGGUAAGGUAACGGGUUACCAAGGCGACGAUGCGUAGCCGACCUGAGAGGGUGAUCGGCCACACUGGAACUGAGACACGGUCCAGACUCCUACGGGAGGCAGCAGUAGGGAAUCUUCCGCAAUGGGCGAAAGCCUGACGGAGCAACGCCGCGUGAGUGAUGAAGGUCUUCGGAUCGUAAAACUCUGUUAUUAGGGAAGAACAAAUGUGUAAGUAACUAUGCACGUCUUGACGGUACCUAAUCAGAAAGCCACGGCUAACUACGUG
rnacentral:rRNA from 1 species